rnacentral:rRNA from 1 species
CGAAUGCUGACAUAAGUAACGAUAAAGCGGGUGAAAAGCCCGCUCGCCGGAAGACCAAGGGUUCCUGUCCAACGUUAAUCGGGGCAGGGUGAGUCGACCCCUAAGGCGAGGCCGAAAGGCGUAGUCGAUGGGAAACAGGUUAAUAUUCCUGUACUUGGUGUUACUGCGAAGGGGGGACGGAGAAGGCUAUGUUGGCCGGGCGACGGUUGUCCCGGUUUAAGCGUGUAGGCUGGUUUUCCAGGCAAAUCCGGAAAAUCAAGGCUGAGGCGUGAUGACGAGGCACUACGGUGCUGAAGCAACAAAUGCCCUGCUUCCAGGAAAAGCCUCUAAGCAUCAGGUAACAUCAAAUCGUACCCCAAACCGACACAGGUG